rnacentral:rRNA from 1 species
UACGGAGGGGGCGAGCGUUAUUCGGAAUCAUUGGGCGUAAAGGGCGCGUAGGCGGCCCCGUAAGUCUUGGGUGAAAGCCCUCGGCUCAACCGAGGAAGUGCACUCGAAACUGCGUAGCUAGAGUCCUGGAGAGGAAGGUGGAAUGCUUGGUGUAGAGGUGAAAUUCGUAGAUAUCAAGCGGAACACCGGUGGCGAAGGCGGCCUUCUGGACAGUGACUGACGCUGAGACGCGAAAGCGUGGGGAGCAAACAGG